rnacentral:rRNA from 1 species
GUUAUCAAAAACAUCGCCACUAGAAUAAAAUAUUAGAGGUCCAUCCUGCCCGGUGACUCACGAGUUAAACGGCCGCGGUAUCCUGACCGUGCUAAGGUAGCAUAAUAAUUUGCCUUUUAAUUGGAGGCUAGCAUGAACGGACAAACGAGAAUAUGGCUGUCUCACUACCAACAAUGAAAAUUAACCUUCAAGUGAAGAGGCUUGAAUCACAUAAAAAGACGAAAAGACCCUAUGGAGCUUUACUUACAUAGAGAACGAGGCACAAUAAAAAAACUGCCAAACUCCUAAAUAGUUCAGUUGGGGCGACUGAGGAGCACUAUUAAAGCCCCCUCAACACGCAAGAAAAUAAAUCUAUUAAGAAUCCACAAACGUGAAUAAAGAAUCAGCUACCCUAGGGAUAACAGGCUAAUCCUUCUCGAGAGCCCGAAUUGACAGAAGGGGUUGGCACCUCGAUGUUGGCUUAAGGUACCUCUAAAGUGCAGCAGCUUUAGUAGUAGGUUUGUUCAACCUUUAAAACCUUACGUGAUCUGAGUUCAGACCGGA